UACGAAGGGUGCAAACGUUGCUCGGAAUUAUUGGGCGUAAAGCGCACGUAGGCGGCUUGGCAAGUUGGAUGUGAAAGCCCUCGGCUUAACCAAGGAAGUGCAUCCAAAACUGCUGAGCUUGAGUACUUAAGAGGAUCGCGGAAUUCCCGGUGUAGAGGUGAAAUUCGUAGAUAUCGGGAGGAACACCAGUGGCGAAGGCGGUUCUCUGGGAAUAUCCUGACGCUGAGGAGCGAAAGUGUGGGGAGCGAACAGG
rnacentral:rRNA from 1 species